rnacentral:sRNA from 1 species
AGAAGGGAAAGUGGAGGUGGGCAGGUGGUCCGGGUGAGAAGCGGUUUCUGAAUCAGAAGGAAAGGAAAGAGAACCCUUUCUAGGCUUUGAUUGUCUUUGGCGAGGGCUGGGGGUUCUGGUGGUUUUGGGGAAAGGAAUUGUGCGCUUAGAGAGGACGACGCUAGGAGAAUGCAGGCCUUGGGUGCCAUCCUCAGAUUCUGGGGACUGUGGGGGCUUCAUGCAUUUACCAGACUCGUGCCAACGCCCCGGUUUUGCAAGCUGGCCCCUCGUGAGUGGCUUGGAACUCGGGGAAGGGUAUGACUAAUUUCUGAAGCGGACGGCAGAGAAGAGAGAAAGUGUUGAAAAAUGACAUCGUUACCAUUCUUAAAAGGUGUUUCCAAGCCAGGACCCUCUAGAUCGAGCAGAUUUCAAUGCUGUUGAGUAUAUCAAUACCCUGUUCCCAACCGAGCAAUCUCUGGCGAACAUAGACGAAGUCGUGAACAAAAUUAGGCUGAAAAUAAGGAGACUGGAUGACAAUAUUCGAACUGUUGUAAGAGGUCAGACGAACGUGGGGCAGGAUGGACGGCAA